GAGGAGAGACCCGAGGCGGCCGCCGGUCUGAGUGUCAGGUGAACUGAACUUCAGGACAGUUAGCAUGCAGUCUGGAGCAGCCAGGGAUCGACCCAAAAACCAUCUGAUUAGUAGAUGACCUGCUCCACCUCCUGAGCCACAGCCGCCCCUUUUAGAGGAGCUGGCGUCAUGUUGUGGAAGCUGCCAUCUUGCCCCACCAUCAUACGCUGGCUGAGAUGGGCAUCGCUGCUCCGCCUUUUCAUGUUUUAUG